AAGAGAGGAUACUGGGCUAGAUGGACCAUUUGUCUGACCCGGUAUGACCAUUCUUAUGUUCUUACAACAGGGGCCUGGCAGGGAUUAAGGAAACAGAGAGUGAAACAAGGAACUAGAAUUAAUUGUCCUGUGGAUGGAGCAACUAAUUGCAGCAUAGGUGCAUUGUACCUUUAGCUCUGCUCAAUAAUAGAAAGAGCAGUUUGUACAUUGAAGGCCAAAUUCUGCUCUUUGUUACACCUGUGCGAUGACACUGACUACCAUGGUGGAACUGAAAGAAGAAUCAAGCCCAAUGGGUCCAAUUGUCAAAUCUGAGCACAUCAUUCAAGACACCCAGUUCUACUCAUGAUACUAGGCACCCAAGUACCCACAUUACAUGCCCAGUAAUUAAAAACAGCCAAUGCAUUUGGCACUCCACAGAACACACAAGGAGACAUAGGCACUGGCCCCUAGUAUCUUAGCACAGACACAGAUAAGAAACAUAAUCCCCUGUAUGACAGUUCAGACACAGAGUGGAGCAGAUCAACAUGGAAAUGCUUCUGGUGCCUUUCUUGAUUGCCACUGACUCACUGUGUCUCUUUCUAUGCUGCAGUUUUCCCACCUGUAAAACUAGAGUGGAGAAAAUGGGAGAUCUGAGAUAUCAGUGGGAACUGAGUUAUAAAGGAAACUGUUGCAGUUGCGGAUCAGAGCAGUGAGAGGGGAAACUGAUUUUGCUGGGAGCAUUUUGGAUGGGUUGAAGGGGGAAGUUUGCAGUAGAUAACUAUGACAUGGCAGCAGUUCAGGGCAGCUUCCCGGGGUGAGGCGGGAGGGUCUGAUUUUAGAGUUACUGAAACAGGACAAUAGGGCAGCAUUCUGGGAUGUGAAGGGACAAGAAAAGCGCUGGGGGAUGCAAGCCUACAUGACGAGACGAAUGUCAGCAUUGUCUUUCUACAUCCAGCUAUACCCAUUCCCUAACGUGGAACCAGACAUGACUUCCUCCAUCUCCAUAUCUUUUCUCACCAUGUCAGUGCUGGCUGGAAUAGGGACCUGUAUGUAAUUGGGGCACCGAGCCGGAUGCCUUCCCUAAGCUCCUUACUUUCUUUCUAAUUUGCUGUCAGAGCUGAAUAAAUUAAUGGGGAUGGCUAUCAGCAUGAUAGGCAAAUCCCAGCAGGGCCCCGGGCCUCCCUGCAGAUUAAUCUGCCUGUCUCGCAAUAACCUGUCUCCCAAAUCACCACCUCUUAAUUCAGAUGGUGCUCUGAAAAAACCUGCCAUAAUGCCGUGCCCUUGCCCCUCCCGUCACUGCCAGGGAGAAGAUCACAGGGAUGGGGGAGUAAAUCAUCAUGGAGGUAUUAAAAGGAAACAGACAGUACAGUGAGCUUCAAAGCUGUGGCUCAAAAAGUCAGUGGCUGGGGAAUUGAUUGCAUCUUUGCAUUAUCAAAGCAGAGAAGAAGGGGUGGGGGAGUUUGAUUUUAAAAUGGCGGCUUGCCCAACCAAAAUGUAGUUUGUUGUUUAGGUUUUUGAAAUCAAUAUCAAGUGGAUUUUAGAUUGUCUUUAAUCCUAGUUUAAAUUACUGCACAGGUGGUGUCAUUCCCAAUCACCUUAUACAUUCAGGAGACACAAUCGGGAGGGAGGGAGAGACUGGGCCCUGACAAGGAGGUUUCUUUUUGCCUCCAUCUUAUUUGGAGGAGAGGGUGUGCAAUGUAUUGUCAUUGCUGGAGAGAAGGCGUUACGUUGUUUCCUGCAAUUAGUUCCCCCCAGUCUUCGAUCCACUAUCAUGAGACCAAGAUUCAGAGCCUGUGAUAGCAGGGCUGGGGAGUAGGAAUCAUAGCGAGGGUAGCUUGCCUGUCCCUCUCAUGCAUGCAUACAUGUUUAGUAUGUUUAUGUGUAGUGUGGUAGUGCCCAUUGUGCUAGGUGCCACACAAACAUAAAUAAAAGAUGUCUCUGAGCUGAAUAUCUUACAAUCUAAAGCCUUGUCUUCUCUAGGAAGAAAGAUGUUUUCUAGGUUCCCAUGGAGUCUUCACCUUGACCUCGUGUGAGAACGGCAAACUACUUUGUCUUCCCUUGGAUUUUACCUCGUUAGUUACUGUGUGUUAGCUAACACGUGGUCAGAAAACAGCUUUUUUCCUAGUGAAAACAUACGGGAGGACAGGAGACAACAGAUGGAGACAACAAAAAGGCAGAGAGAUCCCAACCUAACAAUGAGACGCUGAUAAGCUAUGUAAUAAGCGACAGUUAUGCCUCCGCAUGCAUAGCCCCCAUUCCCACAUAUUCACACACAUGCACAGACCCAUCUGCAAAAAUAACAAAGACCUAAGUCUAGGUUAUCUGAAUAUGAUGCUGGCUUUUCUUCCCUUGGUAUUAAUUUGCCAGUGCCAGGCCGAGGCAACGUCUUUGUAUUUCAACAGCACCUUCUAUCCAAAGAUCUCACAGCACAUUAUGAACAUUCUUUAAUUAAGUUUCCCUGUGAGGUCGGCAAGUAAAAUAUUAACAUCCGCAUUUUGAAGACACAGAAACAGAGGUUUGCCUCAAGAUCACACAACAAGUCAGCAGCAGGAUCAGGAACAAAACUCAACAGUCCUGAUUCCCUGUCCUCCCUUGCUGUAACCACUAGACCACAUACCCUACCAGAGUAUAUAGAACAGUAGCGUUUAAGGCCAGAGGGGUCCAUGAGCUCAUCUAGUAUAAUGCCGGCCACAGAAUUUCAUCCAGUUACUUCUGUAUUAAACCCGGUAACUUGUGUUUGGCUAAAACAUAUCUUCCAGGAAGGCAUCGAGUCUUGAUCUGAAGACUUCAAGACCUGAAGAAUCUGCCACUAUCCUGCCUGGUGGGAUAUUCAUUGCAGCGCAUGGAACAGGGGUGCUGUCUCCGUGAUCACAGCAAUUUGAGACCCAGCCACUCCCAGCAGCAGUGAUACUUUUUCUUUGCCUUCUAAAAGAGACAUGACGCAAGUUCAUUUGGACAUGUAGAGGCUGCUGUUUCACUUUGGGCCUCUACCAUCUCAUCACUGCAGCCCCUCAGGAAGGGAAUGGAACAGCAUGGAAUGCCAUCUGCUGAGGUGUUGAUGUGAGGAGCUUGAAGCCUAGCAUUGCUGGAAUUCCCAAGAAGAAACCCAAGAUCUACUGUACAGAGAGGGCCAGCCAGAGACAACAUUGUUGUAAUACAAGUGUGGCCUACUGGACAUGCUCACAAAGGUGGCAAACCUGGGGAGUUCCCUUCUGUAAGUACACCUUCCCCUGUCUGGGGUGACUUCUGCGCUGUUUUGUUCGGACUAGUUCUAAAGAAGAAUUGAUAUCAGUUUCCACCGGCCUAUCCUAAAUGACUAGCCUAGAAGAGCUUUCAGGCAAAUAAAUAGGGGCUUGCAAUAUUAUGCCACAUCAGGCCCCAUGCACAUCAUCAUGUGGUGGCAAAUCUGUGCAAUAGAUUAGUAUUGCAAUCUAGUCUGUUAAUCUAAUCUCUCUUUCUCUUUCUAUUCUAAUCUAGUUGAUCUCUUUCUCUAUGCUUUUCUAGUGCAUCCAUCAGCAUUGACUCACACAAGAAAGAACCCCCUAAUAGAGAGAGGAUGGGGAACUUGGGAUGAAUGAGCUAAAUUGAACUAUUAUUAUUAACCAUGUAUGUAGCGUUGUAAACGCUUAUGGCUCUAUAGAGUCAAGUCAGGGGAUAAUAAAUAAUAAAUCC